AAGAAGCGAAGAAGGAAAAAAAGGAGAAAGAAGAGAAGAAAGAUGCGUUGAGAUAUGAAAUAACAUUAGACGGAGGACGGUACCGAUUCAGCAACAUAAAGGUAAAUCACGAAGAGGCCUCUAAGAUAUGUAAGCAGUAUGGACUCGAACUUAUUACUAUACCAAACAAAGAAAGGAAUAAUUUCAUCUAUAAUUUAAUUGAACUAUAUGGUAAAUCUGAUGGCAAGUACUGGACGUCAGGAACAAAAAGGUCCGACGACCUGUGGAUAUGGGGGGAUCUUCGGCCUAUAACUUAUUUCAAUUGGGCCCCUAGUGAACCUGAUAAGGAUCAGUACUGCCUCCAAGUGCGAGCUACUGGCCUGUGGCAUGAUCAGGACUGUGACAGCAAUUCUUUAUUCAUCUGUGAAUACUCUAUUCCCAGUUACAGUAAUACGUAUAAUACAUACCAGACAUAUCAAGCAU